GCCUCGCUGGUGUAGUGGUAGAGCUCGCGUCCCUAGCUAGGAUGAAACGCGGGUUCGAUUCCCGACUGAGGCC